rnacentral:rRNA from 1 species
UAGGGAAUAUUGGACAAUGGGCGAAAGCCUGACCCAGCCAUGCCGCGUGAGUGACGAAGGCCUUAGGGUUGUAAAACUCUUUCGUCGGGGACGAUAAUGACGGUACCCGAAGAAUAAGCUCCGGCUAACUUCGUGCCAGCAGCCGCGGUAAUACGAAGGGAGCUAGCGUUGUUCGGAAUCACUGGGCGUAAAGCGCACGUAGGCGGAUGUGUCAGUCAGGGGUGAAAUCCCGGAGCUCAACUUCGGAACUGCCCUUGAUACAGCACGUCUUGAGUCCGAUAGAGGUGGGUGGAAUUCCUAGUGUAGAGGUGAAAUUCGUAGAUAUUAGGAAGAACACCGGUGGCGAAGGCGGCCCACUGGAUCGGUACUGACGCUGAGGUGCGAAAGCGUGGGGAGCAAACAGGAUUAGAUACCCUAGUAGUCCCUGAGCGGGCUGGCAAGGCGCAU